rnacentral:piRNA from 1 species
AAGAUGCACAUAGACUUUAGUUGCCAA